AAGUCGUAACAAGGUUUCCGUAGGUGAACCUGCGGAAGGAUCAUUACCUUUCUGGCUAUUAAUAGCUUGUGCUGGGGCUGUCAGUUUCUGCAGUCUCUCGACUUUACAUCCGUGUUUUUUGCUGCUUGACUGAUUAUGUUUUCCUCGGCCGGGGCUUUGGCUUGCCGGAUUGGACAAAUCAUAAAACUCUUUGCAAUUGCAAUCAGCGUCUGAAUUAUGUAAUAAUUACAA
rnacentral:misc_RNA from 1 species